UUCCAGACUCCUACGGGAGGCAGCAGUGGGGAAUAUUGGACAAUGGGGGGAACCCUGAUCCAGCGACGCCGCGUGAGUGAAGAAGUAUUUCGGUAUGUAAAGCUCUAUCAGCAGGGAAGAAAAUGACGGUACCUGACUAAGAAGCCCCGGCUAACUACGUGCCAGCAGCCGCGGUAAUACGUAGGGAGCAAGCGUUAUCCGGAUUUAUUGGGUGUAAAGGGUGCGUAGACGGGAAAUUAAGUUAGUUGUGAAAUCCCUCGGCUCAACUGAGGAACUGCAACUAAAACUGAUUUUCUUGAGUGCAGGAGAGGUAAGUGGAAUUCCUAGUGUAGCGGUGAAAUGCGUAGAUAUUAGGAGGAACACCAGUGGCGAAGGCGACUUACUGGACUGUAACUGACGUUGAGGCACGAAAGUGUGGGGAGCAAACAGGAUUAGAUACCCCCGUAA
rnacentral:rRNA from 1 species